AAGCAUUCCGCGCCAGGCCUCGGAUGGGCAUCUGGCCAGGCAGGGGCACAGGACGCUUGUGUAAGAAGAGAAGGAACCGUGUGUUUCAGAAUCAUACUGUCUGCUUACAAAAUCAACCUAGAGGAAAGCCACACAAUCCCAAAGCCAAGAAUGAUGACGACCCAGUAAAACCUGUAAUAAGGAUAUAAAACAGCUAAUGAAAGAACAAAGAGAAUCCCAGACUGAGUAAACUUCAAGCUUCCUGAAUAAUGUCUGAGUCCUACAGAGUUCUGUCCUUUCUCAGCUGCCUUCACUGUGACUCCCAAAGCUGCUCAUUUUAUUGAAUUUAAUUUGUUCCACAUCCCCAUGAAAUCAACUGAGUCUUAAAAGUGAAGAAAAAGGUUCACAAACAUGA